rnacentral:rRNA from 1 species
UACGUAGGGUGCAAGCGUUGUCCGGAAUUAUUGGGCGUAAAGAGCUCGUAGGCGGUUUGUCGCGUCGAAUGUGAAAUCCCGGGGCUCAACCCCGGGCCUGCAUUCGAUACGGGCAGACUAGAGUUCGGUAGGGGAGUCUGGAAUUCCUGGUGUAGCGGUGAAAUGCGCAGAUAUCAGGAGGAACACCGGUGGCGAAGGCGGGACUCUGGGCCGAUACUGACGCUGAGGAGCGAAAGGCGUGGGGAGCAAACAGG